rnacentral:tRNA from 1 species
UUAUUACUAGUAUAAGGAGUAUAUGAGUCUUCCAAACUCAAGGUUUACGAUAAGUAGGUAAUAAA